CUGACCUGCAUGUUCUGAGCCCCAAAUGCCCCAAAUUAUACACAUUUUUGAGAAUCUUGUGCACACAGGAUUCAAAAUGAUCUUUCAGGACAUUAUAAGGGCUUCCUAUGAAUAUCUACUCUAGAAAUAUGUUGCAUAUGUUCAUCACAUCCACCAGAAACCAGAUCGAUCAGCAGAUAAACAGCCUGCUGAUGGAGGCAGCCUGCUGAUGGAGGCAGCUCGGUGAUGGAGGCAGCCUGCUGAUGGAGGCAGCCUGCUGAUGGAGGCAGCUCGGUGAUGGAGGCAGCCUGCUGAUGGAGGCAGCCUGCUGAUGGAGGCAGCUCGGUGAUGGAGGCAGCCUGCUGAUGGAGGCAGCUCGGCCUGGACAACAUGUCCUGCAUCUCAUUCACCGCGACGGCUGACUGAUGGUGGAGGACCACAUCCAACUGGACCACCGGGUCCCACCAGAACACCACUAACACCACCCUAAACACGAGCCGCUGGACCGUCCGCAGGUCUACAGGUGAUCACAGCCGCUCGGCCGCAGCUGAAAACGGCCGACGUGUCGGUGUCGGUGUCGGUGUCGGUGAGCCCCGAGCUGGUUCUGUCGGUAACGUGUCGGUGAUUAGAAGCGGACUCACCGGUGAAGAGCCGGGCAGGAAGAACCGCUUCAUGAGUGAAGACUCAACAGGUCACCUCAGGACUGAACACCUUCCUCCUCCUCCUCCUCCUCAUCACUCACAGUCGACCUUCACAGCGUGACGAGCUGCAACAUGUCUGCUCUAUAAAAGGAAACGACGCCGUCCAUCUACAGUUAUUGGUCUGAUGCUGAGGGGGUUUGCUGUCGCAGCACGUCGCCAUGGCAACCGCAGUGCUGAGGAGACGGUGAUUUUCCAACAGGCCGGUUGCCAUGGGAAACCAACAAUGGUGCUGAUGGGAGGAGGGAGGGAAGAAACAAACAGCUCAGUGAGAGAGACUCGAGUUUUCUGAGUCAACAUCAGUGACUCAACAGAAAAACGAGAGUUUAUUCAGUUAAUGUACGGAAGCUCGAUUCUGCCAAGAGGAGGGGGCCAUAAACAAUUGAAAGUUUGGAAAUAUUAACACUAAAACUGCUCCUGAUAAAACACUGUUAUGAUCUGUCCACUCUUGACCAAAAAUUCUUUCAGCCCUUAUUUUUUCCCCACUCAGUUUCACACAUGAAAGAAAAAAUUAUAUUGACAUUAUAACUGUAUCGACAUUAACAGGAUUUAACGAGUUGGCGAAAAUUGUUGACACCAAAAAUAAUACUAAUUCUCCUGAAAUUUUUUGACCUGCAUGAAAUAAAUUCUGAAAUAUUUAAUGGACAGAAAAAAUCCUUUUGUCAGUUUCACACUUGAAAAAAAAUAAUAAAUUCACACUAGAAUUGGAAAAAUACAUUCUGCUGAAUAAUAAAUAUGACAAAAUCAUACAUAUUUUAGUACUCCAGAAAUAUCUCCAGAAAGAGUUUGGUUUCCACAAAUUUGAAAAUUUUCUUCGUAAAAAGAAUUGAGGAAAAACUUCAACCUGUUUUCUUUCCCACUCAUUUUCCCGCACAAAAGGAAAUUUCCUGAUAAAUGUUCUUGAUGUUUUCAUGAAUUUUACUUGCGCGAUUUCACAAAUUUGAAAAUGUUCCUCUGAAAAAUAAA